rnacentral:rRNA from 1 species
GACGUAGGGCGCGAGCGUUGUCCGGAUUUAUUGGGCGUAAAGAGCUCGUAGGCGGCUUGUUGCGUCAGCUGUGAAAACCCGCAGCUCAACUGUGGGCUUGCAGCUGAUACGGGCAGGCUUGAGUUCGGUAGGGGAGACUGGAAUUCCUGGUGUAGCGGUGAAAUGCGCAGAUAUCAGGAGGAACACCGGUGGCGAAGGCGGCAUCCUGGACCGGCAUUGACGCUGAGGCGCGAAAGCCAGGGGAGCAAACGGG